rnacentral:rRNA from 1 species
UACGUAGGGUGCAGGCGUUAAUCGGAAUUACUGGGCGUAAAGCGUGCGCAGGCGGUUUCUUAAGUCAGAUGUGAAAGCCCCGGGCUUAACCUGGGAACUGCGUUUGAAACUGGGAGACUUGAGUGUGGCAGAGGGGGGUGGAAUUCCGACGUGUAGCAGGUGGAAAUGCGUAGAUAUGUGGAGGAACACCGAUGGCGAAGGCAGCCCCCUGGGUCAACACUGACGCUCAUGCACGAAAGCGUGGGGAGCAAACAGG